rfam:Tupaia chinensis contig216717, whole genome shotgun sequence.
CCAAAGGCCCUUUUUAGGGCCACCCACACGGCCAUCGGAGGAGCUG